GAUGAACGCUGGCGGCGUGCCUAAUACAUGCAAGUCGAUCGAACGGACGAGAAGCUUGCUUCUCUGAUGUUAGCGGCGGACGGGUGAGUAACACGUGGAUAACCUACCUAUAAGACUGGGAUAACUUCGGGAAACCGGAGCUAAUACCGGAUAAUAUUUUGAACCGCAUGGUUCAAAAGUGAAAGACGGUCUUGCUGUCACUUAUAGAUGGAUCCGCGCUGCAUUAGCUAGUUGGUAAGGUAACGGCUUACCAAGGCAACGAUGCAUAGCCGACCUGAGAGGGUGAUCGGCCACACUGGAACUGAGACACGGUCCAGACUCCUACGGGAGGCAGCAGUAGGGAAUCUUCCGCCAUGGGCGAAAGCCUGACGGAGCAACGCCGCGUGAGUGAUGAAGGUCUUCGGAUCGUAAAACUCUGUUAUUAGGGAAGAACAUAUGUGUAAGUAACUGCGCACAUCUUGACGGUACCUAAUCAGAAAGCCACGGCUAACUACGUG
rnacentral:rRNA from 1 species